UACUCGAGUGGCGAACGGGUGAGUAACACGUGGGUGAUCUGCCCUGCACUUCGGGAUAAGCCUGGGAAAUUGGGUCUAAUACCGGAUAGGAACCAUCUUUAGUGUGGUGGUUGGAAAGUUUUUUCGGUGUAGGAUGAGCUCGCGGCCUAUCAGCUUGUUGGUGGGGUAAUGGCCUACCAAGGCGGCGACGGGUAGCCGGCCUGAGAGGGUGUACGGCCACAUUGGGACUGAGAUACGGCCCAG
rnacentral:rRNA from 1 species